GACGAACGCUGGCGGCGUGCUUAACACAUGCAAGUCGAACGGAAAGGCCCUGCUUGCGGGGUACUCGAGUGGCGAACGGGUGAGUAACACGUGGGUGAUCUGCCCUGCACUUCGGGAUAAGCCUGGGAAACUGGGUCUAAUACCGGAUAGGAGCAAUUUUUAGUGGGAUGGUUGGAAAGUUUUUUAGGUGUAGGAUGAGCUAGCGGCCUAUCAGCUUGUUGGUGGGGUAAUGGGCUACCAAGGCGGCGACGGGUAGCCGGCCUGAGAGGGUGGACGGCCACAUUGGGACUGAGAUACGGCCCAGACUCCUACGGGAGGCAGCAGUGGGGAAUAUUGCACAAUGGGCGCCAGCCUGAUGCAGCGACGCCGCGUGGGGGAUGACGGCCUUCGGGUUGUAAACUCCUUUCGCUAGGGACGAAGCUUUUUGUGACGGUACCUAGAUAAGAAGCACCGGCUAACUACGUG
rnacentral:rRNA from 1 species